rnacentral:lncRNA from 1 species
GCCUCAAAGUCCUAUCUCCCGGGAGACCUCUGUGGCCACUUAUGCUUCGCGGGGCCGAAGGCCCUUCGUGGGUCAACCAAUCACCCGGAGCCCAGCAACCCACGUGACGGGCUCGCGCAGGCGCCUCGCCCGCCGACCGGGAGCUGGCGGCCGCAAUUCCCGCCUGGUCUGCUCCGCAGCCGCGGAGCUCAGCCGCUUGUCCACGCCUGUCGGUCCAGAGGCCUUUUUCCUCUGACCGGCGCACAGGGAGGGGGUGCCGCUGGCCUGUGGCCCCUCUCCACGCCUGUUUCUCCAUCAGCCCAGUCGUGGAGCGCCGAGUCUGCUGCAAUUCUGGCCUCCUUCUUGCGACCGCGAACAGGCCCCUCUUCGGCGUGUGCAGAGCGCCUUUCUUCCAGCGCUUCUCAUUUCUCUGUAGUUCCGCAGAUCUGCGUUUUGGAGGCUCUGCUCAUCUUCAAGGGGCGCACUCAGGAAAACGUGAACAUGGCUGUGUGGCCCAGGAGAAUUAGAAGAAAGGGCCACAAUCUGCCAGUUCCACGGAGUCAGGGAAGAAUGACCAUGAUGGCUCCACUGGAAAUGAUUUCAAAUCGCUGCAAUAGGUAAGGUCAUUAUUAAUGCAUGCUCAUCUACUUCAUUCGUCUAGUUUGAUUCCCUUCCAACACUGCUUUGUACUCAGCACUGUAACUAAAAACUCUAAUUUAUAUGGAAUAAAGGCCCUCUACCAUCUAGACCUGACCUUUCU